UACGUAGGGGGCAAGCGUUGUCCGGAAUUAUUGGGCGUAAAGAGCGUGUAGGCGGUCCGGUAAGUCGGCUGUGAAAGUCCAGGGCUCAACCCUGGGAUGCCGGUCGAUACUGCCGGACUAGAGUUCGGAAGAGGCGAGUGGAAUUCCCGGUGUAGCGGUGAAAUGCGCAGAUAUCGGGAGGAACACCUAUGGCGAAGGCAGCUCGCUGGGACGUUUACUGACGCUGAGACGCGAAAGCGUGGGAGCAAAACAGG
rnacentral:rRNA from 1 species